rnacentral:rRNA from 1 species
UACGGAGGGUGCAAGCGUUAUCCGGAUUCACUGGGUUUAAAGGGUGCGUAGGUGGGCUGGUAAGUCAGUGGUGAAAUCCCCGAGCUUAACUUGGGAACUGCCAUUGAUACUAUCAGUCUUGAAUACCGUGGAGGUCAGCGGAAUAUGUCAUGUAGCGGUGAAAUGCGUAGAGAUCGGCAGGAACACCCAGGGGGAAAGCAGUCGACUGGGCAUCUACUGACGCUGAGGUGCGAGAGCGUGGGGAGCGAACCGG